GACGAACGCUGGCGGCGUGCUUAACACAUGCAAGUCGAACGGAAAGGCCCUGCUUUUGUGGGGUGCUCGAGUGGCGAACGGGUGAGUAACACGUGAGUAACCUGCCCUUGACUUUGGGAUAACUUCAGGAAACUGGGGCUAAUACCGGAUAGGAGCUCCUGCUGCAUGGUGGGGGUUGGAAAGUUUCGGCGGUUGGGGAUGGACUCGCGGCUUAUCAGCUUGUUGGUGGGGUAGUGGCUUACCAAGGCUUUGACGGGUAGCCGGCCGGAGAGGGUGACCGGCCACAUUGGGAGUGAGAUACGGCCCAGACUCCUACGGGAGGCAGCAGUGGGGAAUAUUGCACAAUGGGCGGAAGCCUGAUGCAGCAACGCCGCGUGCGGGAUGACGGCCUUCGGGUUGUAAACCGCUUUCGCCUGUGACGAAGCGUGAGUGACGGUAAUGGGUAAAGAAGCACCGGCUAACUACGUG
rnacentral:rRNA from 1 species